rnacentral:rRNA from 1 species
GGGUUGUGAGGUUAAGCGACUAAGCGUACACGGUGGAUGCCCUGGCAGUCAGAGGCGAUGAAGGACGUGCUAAUCUGCGAUAAGCGUCGGUAAGGUGAUAUGAACCGUUAUAACCGGCGAUUUCCGAAUGGGGAAACCCAGUGUGAUUCGUCACACUAUCAUUAACUGAAUCCAUAGGUUAAUGAGGCGAACCGGGGGAACUGAAACAUCUAAGUACCCCGAGGAAAAGAAAUCAACCGAGAUU